GUUUCCUGAAGGAGAAACAUUAGAAACGGGAAACGGAUUUUUUUUUCUUUUACCCAGGCUUAAACUCUUGAUCCUCAGUGAAGAGAGAAAAAGGAAUAAUGAAAUCCUUGAGUGUUUCACUAGUGGUCCUGUGGCUUCAGUUUAAUUGGGUGAGCAGCCAGCAGAAGGUGCAGCAGAACCCGGAAUCCCUCAGUGUCCCAGAGGGAGCCAUGGCCUCUCUCAACUGCACUUUCAGUGAUAGUGCUUCGGAUUACUUCAGCUGGUACAGACAGCGAUCUGGGAAAGGCCUGGAGUUGCUCCUGUUUGUAUUCUCCAGUGGUAAAAAAGAAGGCAGAUUCGCAGUUCACCUCAACAAAGCCAGUCGGCAUGUUUCCCUGCAUAUCAGAGACUCCCAGCCCGGUGACUCAGCUGUCUACCUUUGUGCAGUGAGAACACAGUGCUCCCCAGGCACCUGCAGCCUGCACAAAAACCUAUUGGGCCCCAAUAGGCCUGAACUAAAGUGUGCUUGA